rnacentral:rRNA from 1 species
CCUACGGGGGGCUGCAGUGGGGAAUAUUGCACAAUGGGCGCAAGCCUGAUGCAGCCAUGCCGCGUGUGUGAAGAAGGCCUUCGGGUUGUAAAGCACUUUCAGCGGGGAGGAAGGCGUUAAGGUUAAUAACCUUGGCGAUUGACGUUACCCGCAGAAGAAGCACCGGCUAACUCCGUGCCAGCAGCCGCGGUAAUACGGAGGGUGCAAGCGUUAAUCGGAAUUACUGGGCGUAAAGCGCACGCAGGCGGUCUGUCAAGUCGGAUGUGAAAUCCCCGGGCUCAACCUGGGAACUGCAUUCGAAACCGGCAGGCUAGAGUCUUGUAGAGGGGGGUAGAAUUCCAGGUGUAGCGGUGAAAUGCGUAGAGAUCUGGAGGAAUACCGGUGGCGAAGGCGGCCCCCUGGACAAAGACUGACGCUCAGGUGCGAAAGCGUGGGGAGCAAACAGGAUUAGAUACCCCUGUAGUC